CACGUAGGGCGCGAGCGUUGUCCGGAUUUAUUGGGCGUAAAGAGCUCGUAGGCGGCUUGUUGCGUCGGCUGUGAAAUCCCGUGGCUUAACUGCGGGCUUGCAGCUGAUACGGGCGGGCUGGAGUUCGGUAGGGGAGACUGGAAUUCCUGGUGUAGCGGUGAAAUGCGCAGAUAUCAGGAGGAACACCGGUGGCGAAGGCGGUUCUCUGGGCAUUACCUGACGCUGAGGAGCGAAAGUGUGGGGAGCGAACAGG
rnacentral:rRNA from 1 species